rnacentral:lncRNA from 1 species
CCAUAUCCAACAACAAAAUUUUAAUGGAACUAGAAAACCGCUGACUGAAGCAAAAUUCUUUUCAGUGUAGAAUCAUUCAGCAGCUUUCCGGUCCAGCUUCCCAAUCCAGUCCAACUCCGACUCUCUCCAGUAGGACCAUCCGUAUUUGAAUCACUUAGGAAAUCACAUACAUACCCUAAACCUUAUGAAAAAUCAACCAAAUCCCAUUGCUUUAAGUCUAUCUAGAUCUGUGAGUCCCAAAUUCCUUCAUGUCUAUCACAAGCUGAGGUAAUAUUACCAAUUAUUCUGGUUACCCCCCAAAAAUUCGCCUUAGACCUUGUCAAAAACUUCCUAACUCGAGGCACCAUCACAGGUCCAUAAAACAACAAAAUGCCC